rnacentral:lncRNA from 10 species
GCGAGGCCAGGGAACCCUCCAGAGCUGUGGCUGAGCUAAGCUGCAGGAGAGGACCAGAGGACAAGAGCUGCAGGCAUGGGCAGAGGAAAGCAGCCACUGGCACCCCAUGCCCAGCAAGGAAGUUGGGGAAGAAAACAGAGAAGUGUGCCCUUGGCUGAGGACAAGAAUCUGCAUGAUGUUUUCUUUGACCUUGAGAAUGCCUUUUGCUUGCCCUGCAGAGCAGGAGAGGAGCUGGAACUUUCCCGUUUGGCUCUGUCAGCCAAGUGCAGCUUUCAAGUUCUCUAGGGACUGCUGUAUUUUCUCAUGAGUUCCGACUUCAGAUCUCCGGCUCCUCUUUCACUGGACGGAUUCCAAAUACUACAACUCCCUGUGUGACAGCUGGAGAAUCACUGCACCUUUCUGGGCCCCAUUGAGUGACAGAAGAUCGGAAUGGAUAGUCACAUGCCUGCCCCAGCGUGGAAGGAGAAGAGCCUAUACUUCCAUCCAUUCUGGCCUCUUCCAAGUUCCCCUCAUUUUUCUCUCUAAGAUCAAAUAAAUAAACAUGUUGUUAUUCUUUUUAUACAUU